UACUGAGUCUCAGAUUAUUAUUCUGAAGA
rnacentral:piRNA from 1 species